rnacentral:rRNA from 1 species
CUACGGGGUGCUCCAGUGAGGAAUAUUGCACAAUGGGGGGAACCCUGAUGCAGCAACGCCGCGUGGAGGAUGACGCAUUUCGGUGUGUAAACUCCUUUUAUAUGUCAAGAAAAUGACGGUAGCAUAUGAAUAAGCACCGGCUAACUCCGUGCCAGCAGCCGCGGUAAUACGGAGAGUGCAAGCGUUACUCGGAAUCACUGGGCGUAAAGGACGCGUAGGCGGGUUGGAAAGUCAGGUGUGAAAUCCUACAGCUUAACUGUAGAACUGCACUUGAAACUUCUAAUCUAGAGUAUGGGAGGGGGAGAUGGAAUUCGUGGUGUAGGGGUAAAAUCCGUAGAUAUCACUAGGAAUACCUAAAGCGAAGGCGAUCUCCUGGAACAUUACUGACGCUAAGGCGUGAAAGCGUGGGGAGCAAACAGGAUUAGAUACCCGAGUAGUC